CAAAAAAUAAUUUAUUAAGAAUAUUAAUUUUGGAGAUUAAAAGUGUAAUUUAAUUUAUUUUUUUGA
rnacentral:tRNA from 1 species